AGAGACCAGCCUCCCCUGUUCCCAGCUGUGUGUCCAUGAAGAGUGACCGGUCUAUGGGUCAACCUAUACACUUUAGAGAGGGAGACUUUUCUACUGAACAAAGGUUUAAGGGCAACGUAGCACGUCUGGUGAACAGGGCAGAGUCCCAUAUCAUCAGGCAAACCAGUAGAAACUGGAUCAGCAGCACAACAAGACCAAUCAAGCAGGAGAGACCAGCCUCCCCUGUUCCCAGCUGUGUGUCCAUGAAGAGUGACGGGUCUAUGGAACCUCCUCUAAACUUUAGAGAGGGAGACUUUUCU